rnacentral:rRNA from 1 species
GAUGAACGCUGGCGGCGUGCCUAAUACAUGCAAGUCGAGCGAACAGAUAAGGAGCUUGCUCCUUUGACGUUAGCGGCGGACGGGUGAGUAACACGUGGGUAACCUACCUAUAAGACUGGGAUAACUUCGGGAAACCGGAGCUAAUACCGGAUAACAUUUGGAACCGCAUGGUUCUAAAGUGAAAGAUGGUUUUGCUAUCACUUAUAGAUGGACCCGCGCCGGAUUAGCUAGUUGGUAAGGUAACGGCUUACCAAGGCAACGAUACGUAGCCGACCUGAGAGGGUGUUCCGCCACACUGGAACUGAGACACGGUCCAGACUCCUACGGGAGGCAGCAGUAGGGAAUCUUCCGCAAUGGGCGAAAGCCUGACGGAGCAACGCCGCGUGAGUGAUGAAGGGUUUCGGCUCGUAAAACUCUGUUAUUCGGGAAGAACAAACGUGUAAGUAACUGUGCACGUCUUGACGGUACCUAAUCAGAAAGCCACGGCUAACUACGUG